rnacentral:rRNA from 1 species
UACGGAGGGAGCUAGCGUUGUUCGGAAUUACUGGGCGUAAAGCGCGCGUAGGCGGCUUUGUAAGUUAGAGGUGAAAGCCCGGAGCUCAACUCCGGAACUGCCUUUAAAACUGCAUCGCUUGAAUCCAGGAGAGGUGAGUGGAAUUCCGAGUGUAGAGGUGAAAUUCGUAGAUAUUCGGAAGAACACCAGUGGCGAAGGCGGCUCACUGGACUGGUAUUGACGCUGAGGUGCGAAAGCGUGGGGAGCAAACAGA